UACGUAGGGAGCAAGCGUUGUCCGGAAUCAUUGGGCGUAAAGCGCGCGUAGGUGGCCUCAUAAGUCCGUUGUGAAAGUCAAAGGCUCAACCUUUGAAAGCCGAUGGAUACUGUGAGACUAGAGUACGGAAGAGGCGAGUGGAAUUCCUGGUGUAGCGGUGGAAUGCGCAGAUAUCAGGAAGAACACCCGUGGCGAAGGCGGCUCUCUGGGACGGUACUGACGCUGAGACGCGAAAGCGUGGGGAGCGAACAGG
rnacentral:rRNA from 1 species